GGAGAGAUGGAGGUAGAUAUGUAUAGGGGACAGGGGACAGGGAUACUGGAGUGAUGAAGGUAGAUAUGUAUAGGGGACAGGGAUACUGGAGAGAUGGAGGUAGAUAUGUAUAGGGGACAGGGAUACUGGAGUGAUGGAGGUAGAUAUGUAUAGGGGGAAGGGGACAGGGAUACUGGAGAGAUGGAGGUAGAUAUGUAUAGGGGACAGGGAUACUGGAGUGAUGAAGGUAGAUAUGUAUAGGGGACAGGGAUACUGGAGUGAUGGAGGUAGAUAUGUAUAGGGGGAAGGGGACAGGGAUACUGGAGUGAUGAAGGUAGAUAUGUAUAGGGGACAGGGAUACUGGAGUGAUGGAGGUAGAUAUGUAUAGGGGACAGGGAUACUGGAGUGAUGGAGGUAGAUAUGUAUAGGGGGAAGGGGACAGGGAUACUGGAGUGAUGAAGGUAGAUCUGUAUAGGGGGCAGGGAUACUGGAGUGAUCGAGGUAGAUAUGUAUAGGGGGAAGGGGACAGGGAUACUGGAGUGAUGAAGGUAGAUAUGUAUAGGGGGAAGGGGACAGGGAUACUGGAGUGAUGGAGGUAGAUAUGUAUAGGGGGAAGGAGACAGGGAUACUGGAGUGAUGGAGGUAGAUAUGUAUAGGGGGAAGGGGACAGGGAUACUGGAGUGAUGGAGGUAGAUAUGUAUAGGGGGAAGGGGACAGGGAUACUGGAGUGAUGGAGGUAGAUAUGUAUAGGGGGAAGGGAUACUGGAGUGAUGGAGGUAGAUAUGUAUAGGGGGAAGGAGACAGGGAUACUGGAGUGAUGGAGGUAGAUAUGUAUAGGGGGAAGGAGACAGGGAUACUGGAGUGAUGGAGGUAGAUAUGUAUAGGGGACAGGGAUACUGGAGUGAUGGAGGUAGAUAUGUAUAGGGGACAGGGAUACUGGAGUGAUGGAGGUAGAUAUGUAUAGGGGGAAGGGGACAGGGAUACUGGAGUGAUGGAGGUAGAUAUGUAUAGGGGGAAGGGGACAGGGAUACUGGAGUGAUGGAGGUAGAUAUGUAUAGGGGACAGGGAUACUGGAGUGAUGAAG
rnacentral:lncRNA from 1 species